rnacentral:rRNA from 1 species
CAGUCGCCGCGUAAUACGUAGGUCCCGAGCGUUGUCCGGAUUUAUUGGGCGUAAAGCGAGCGCAGGCGGUUAGAUAAGUCUGAAGUUAAAGGCUGUGGCUUAACCAUAGUACGCUUUGGAAACUGUUUAACUUGAGUGCAAGAGGGGAGAGUGGAAUUCCAUGUGUAGCGGUGAAAUGCGUAGAUAUAUGGAGGAACACCGGUGGCGAAAGCGGCUCUCUGACUUGUAACUGACGGUGAGGCUCGAAAGCGUGGGGAGCAAACAGGAUUAGAUACCCCCGUAGUCCCUGUCUCUUAUACAC